rnacentral:lncRNA from 1 species
UUAAUUGUUGGAAUGUGGGGUCUCGGAAAUUACUCAAAUAAAAGAACUGCAAUGUAAAAUGAAAAUAUUUUACUUAUCGGAUGAAAGAUGCGUUUCAACCUCACUAACCAAUGUCCAAGGCCGAUUUUAUAUAUCUUCAAUAUUUUUGAAGUGCUGGAUGCCAAAGUUAUGGAAUUCCUUAACAGUUUUAAGUAUUUGUUGAAGUAUUGCAUGACAAAGUUAUGAAUGGACGAAAUGGAUACAACUGAUGUUCAGUUUGUAGCUAAUUUAGUCUUGUUAUUGUCCAGUUGCUCCUAGCUAAAAUAGCCAAAUCCAAAUUAUGUGCGUAUCUAGGGUUGUUCCACCAAGUCGACUAGACAAUCACAAUUUUCUAAUGGGAAUGUUACCCAAACUGACCAUUGAAGUCAAAUUAGACCAACCUUGCCAUCAAAGUUGUUUAAGCAAAAUCAACCAAGAUCCAGUUGAAAAGUGCACUUAAUUUGAGGGGUCUCUUAAAGUAACAAAAAGAGUCGAUGCUCAGACCAUGGCUUGAAUUUUGCAAUUUUGUAACAUAAUCCUAUUAACAUUUAUCUUAUCAUUCCA